CCUACGGGAGGCAGCAGUGAGGAAUAUUGGUCAAUGGGCGCGAGCCUGAACCAGCCAAGUAGCGUGAAGGAUGACUGCCCUACGGGUUGUAAACUUCUUUUAUAAAGGAAUAAAGUGAGGCACGUGUGCCUUUUUGUAUGUACUUUAUGAAUAAGGAUCGGCUAACUCCGUGCCAGCAGCCGCGGUCAUACGGAGGAUCCGAGCAUUAUCCGGAGUGACUGGGUGUAAAGAGGUACGUAGGUGGGAUAAUAAGUAGCUAGUUAAAUCUGGUGGCUUAAACAUUCAGACUAUUAGCUAAACUGUUAGUCUCGAGACCGUUAGGGGUAGCUGGAAUGUGUAGUGUAGGAGUGAAAUCCGUAGAUAUUAGAAGGAACCCCGAUAGCGUAGGCAGGUUACUGGGACGGUUCUGACAUUAAGGCACGAAAGUGUAGGUAGCAAACGGGAUUAGAUACCCGAGUAGUC
rnacentral:rRNA from 1 species